AUGAACGCUGGCGGCGUGCCUAAUACAUGCAAGUCGAGCGAACGGACGAGAAGCUUGCUUCUCUGAUGUUAGCGGCGGACGGGUGAGUAACACGUGGAUAACCUACCUAUGAGACUGGGAUAACUUCGGGAAACCGGAGCUAAUACCGGAUAAUAUUUUGAACCGCAUGGUUCAAAAGUGAAAGACGGUCUUGCUGUCACUUAUAGAUGGAUCCGCGCUGCAUUAGCUAGUUGGUAAGGUAACGGCUUACCAAGGCAACGAUGCAUAGCCGACCUGAGAGGGUGAUCGGCCACACUGGAACUGAGACACGGUCCAGACUCCUACGGGAGGCAGCAGUAGGGAAUCUUCCGCAAUGGGCGAAAGCCUGACGGAGCAACGCCGCGUGAGUGAUGAAGGUCUUCGGAUCGUAAAACUCUGUUAUUAGGGAAGAACAUAUGUGUAAGUAACUGUGCACAUCUUGACGGUACCUAAUCAGAAAGCCACGGCUAACUACGUG
rnacentral:rRNA from 1 species